CUGAUGAGUAGGGGUGAAAUAUAAUAAUUUUGAGCUUAGGAAUCCAUUGAUUCAAAAGUUAUGCGUUUUUGAAGUUUGGUUCUCUUAGUGUACUAUAUGGCUUACUUUAACCACGCACAAAAGCACGUAUAUGUUGAAAGAUUCCCGGCAUUUCUCUUAUCCCUUGGCAGCAGGGAUUCGUUUUUGUACACUAAACAUUUCAUAACUCUAAAGCUAAUAGUUUUUCGACUCAUGUUUACUGAGAUAUUUUACUACUGCACUGAAAUUUGGCACCAACUUUUAUGAACACCCUCUACAGUCUUACCAAUACUAAUUUACUCUAUCCAUUUACAACUAUCUAUUUACUAAUCUAUCUACAACUUUUCUACUUUCACGAGAUAGUAUCUAGUUACGUCGUCAUAGUAUAUAUCAACAAAGACGAACGUUCUGUAUAUCUAACAGGAAUAAGACGAAAAAAGCCAUACAAAAUUUUGCAAUCUUUUACGUAUAAUAGCUUUUGAACGGGGAAAUUCUUAAACUUAAAAUUACUUGAAGGUUUAAGAUAUUACUUUCAAACAUAGGAAUCUUCAGACUCAACAGCAGGUUUGAAUAAUACAUUGUAAUCAUCAUCCCUAAGAAUUUCUGUGAACAAUUGAAAUAAUUAUGUCUAGUAUGUUCAAUAUGAACAUACGUCAUUCAAUUUCAUGAAACUAACCACUAAAAGAGCAAAUUAUGGAUCCAUGUCUUUUCUUUGCUCUGCUGCUAAUAAUUAAUCUUGAACCAUGGAGAAUAACCCAAUUUUCUGGUGUACAUUGCAAAGUUUAUCCAGAUUUGACAAAUCAUUGUCAUUAAAUCCCAGUUCUGAACGAAAAACUUGUACAACACAAAACAGCAGUAAGACAAAUAGAGCUGUUAUUGUGAAACGACGAAGAUAACAUGACAUAAUCCUCAUCUUUAUUUAGUAUAUCAUAUCUGGAAAACAAAAUGUAUAUUUUUAUCUUAUAUUCUGCAUAUGAAUGUCCUAACUUCUGGAAAUAUUUCAGGAUUACAUUACAAUUAUUAUAUAUUACUACAUUAUGGCUGAAAAGUUUCCUUCAAAAAAUUAGCUAGCAAGUUUCUGUUAGCAUAAACGUACGUGAAAAUCGACAAUCCAACAACUGGAUAAGUGACUUUCUAUAUAAUGGCAAUACUUAUUACGUUCGCAGCGUAGACGUAAACCCAAUCGAUUUUUUCUUAAAAGGAACCUUCUCUCGAACUAGAGAGAAACUGUAAGAUUUAAUGUAUAAAUAAUUAUGUAAUGUA